AAAUGUUAAGUAAUUAAAAUGCGUGAUAUCAACAAUAAAAUGUUAAGUUUGUGUCUUUACUUUAAUAUAUCUAGUUUUAAAUUAAUCUGCAUUUGUUCAAAAAACAAGAAAAUUUGUAUUUUAUUGCUUUACAAAAUUAAUCUAAGUAAUCCCAGCCAAGCUUUUUAGGUACACACGCACAACAAACAAUACCUUGUUUUAUUUACUCGCUUGGUACAAAAAAAAAAAAAACCUCCCCUUCCUGUUUCGUUGGUCUGGAAACCCCUUGCAUUCCUAACGAAGACGAAGACGAACACGCGGACUGAAUUUAAGGUGAUUCUCCUGACAAUAGGCUACACUGGAUAAAGGUUUGUGAUGACGAUGAUGCUGCAGCCAUCCAAGAGGCCAUUACUUCAUUUGUGCUCAACAUCUUUGUGGUCAGCAAAGCCAGGGAUGGAGGUCUCGAGAAGAAAGUUGGAAUAGCCAUUGAGGGAGCGGAGGUCCUUUUUUGCAUUCCAAGUGUAGCACAUGCUUGCUCCUACCUUAUGGGCCUUAUUUAUGCCUUGGAACUCAGCUACCCAAAGAAACUUAAAUAUACCUUUGAGGUAUUUCAGAAGAUCUUCCUGGAGCUGGAGGAUGUUAACAAAAACAUGUCCUCCAAAAUCCACGAUCUCAAGAUCAGCUUACUGGCCUAAAAGCGAUACAGACAUUGUUGAAGUUGGAGGGUUCGAGUUAGGUCCCUCUGUUAAAGUUUUACAGUUCAAUUUCUCAGGUUCUCCUAAUGCACUCUCAAUAGUAACUACUAUUGCAUUUUCAUAUAGGGACCAUGUUUUGUAAGUCUGUUAAUGAGCAUUUGAAGGAAACAUGACUGUGAAGAAGUGAGAAACGCAUGGAAAACAUUUUGCACAAUGUGAAUUUAUUGUAAUUUUAUUUUGAUAAGCUAACCUACCCAAAGAAACUGAAAUGUAGCCUUUCCAGAAGAUCUCCCUGGAGCUAGAGGACAGGAACCAAAAAAUGUUUCCCAAAGUUCAUGAUCUCAUGAUCAGCUUACUGGCCUUACAUUGUUGAAUGUAGAGGGUUUGAGUCCCUCUGGUAAAGUUUUACUGUUCAAUUUCUCAGGUUUUUUUCAGUGCACUUUCUCAAGUCACACUAAUCCUAUUUCAUAUAGGGAACAUGUUUGUGAUUCUGUUGAUGUUAAAGGUGCAGUUGAAGGAAAGAUGACAGUUAAGAAGUCAGAAACUAUAUUGCACAAUGUGAGUUUUUUUCAAUAGAAACCCAAAGAAACUGAAAUGUAGGUUUCUUAGAAGAUCUCCAUUGUCACACGGGGAUUAUACAUAUGAUCAUACAUGUGCAAGCGUGUUGUUUUAAAGUCUUUAG